rnacentral:rRNA from 1 species
UGUAGGCUGAAACUCGCCUACAUGAAGCUGGAAUUGCUAGUAAUCACAGGUCAGCAUACUGUGGUGAAUACGUUCCCGGGCCUUGUACACACCGCCCGUCACACCAUGAGAGUUGAGAAUACCCGAAGCCCGUGUCAAAGUGGUCGAAGGUAGGCUUGAUGAUUGGGGUGAAGUCGUAACAAGGUAGC